ACGGACCAAGGAGUCUAGCAUCUAUGCGAGUGUUUGGGUGAUGAAAACCCAUCCGCGAAAUGAAAGUGAAUGCAGGUGGGAACGCCCUUGUGGCGUGCACCAUCGACCGACCCGGAAGUUUGUCAAUGGAAGGGUUUGAGUAAGAGCAUAGCUGUUGGGA
rnacentral:rRNA from 1 species